rnacentral:rRNA from 1 species
UACGAAGGGGGCUAGCGUUGCUCGGAAUCACUGGGCGUAAAGCGCACGUAGGCGGACUCUUAAGUCGGUGGUGAAAUCCUGGAGCUCAACUCCAGAACUGCCUUCGAUACUGGGAGUCUCGAGUCCGGGAGAGGUGAGUGGAACUGCGAGUGUAGAGGUGAAAUUCGUAGAUAUUCGGAAGAAACACCAGUGGCGAAGGCGGCUCACUGGCCCGGUACUGACGCUGAGGUGCGAAAGCGUGGGGAGCAAACAGGG